GAUGAACGCUGGCGGCGUGCCUAAUACAUGCAAGUCGAGCGAACGGACGAGAAGCUUGCUUCUCUGAUGUUAGCGGCGGACGGGUUAGUAACACGUGGAUAACCUACCUAUACGACUGGGAUAACUUCGGGAAACCGGAGCUAAUACCGGAUAAUAUUUUGAACCGCAUGGUUCAAAAGUGAAAGACGGUCUUGCUGUCACUUAUAGAUGGAUCCGCGCUGCAUUAGCUAGUUGGUAAGGUAACGGCUUACCAAGGCAACGAUGCAUAGCCGACCUGAGAGGGUGAUCGGCCACACUGGAACUGAGACACGGUCCAGACUCCUACGGGAGGCAGCAGUAGGGAAUCUUCCGCAAUGGGCGAAAGCCUGACGGAGCAACGCCGCGUGAGUGAUGAAGGUCUUCGGAUCGUAAAACUCUGUUAUUAGGGAAGAACAUAUGUGUAAGUAACUGUGCACAUCUUGACGGUACCUAAUCAGAAAGCCACGGCUAACUACGUG
rnacentral:rRNA from 1 species